CUAAUUUGCCCCCAAAUCCAUCCAAUCUCUCUCGAGCCGCCGCCCGCCGGGCUGCCGUCCGCCGCUCCCUCCCGCCGCCUCGGACGGAGUUUCUUCCCGGGCAUGCGUUGCUGUCGCUGUCUUCCUAGGCCUCCUAACUUCGACGGCGUUGGAGAAGCUCCCCGCCCCCGCUAGCCAGCCCCCGCACCGGUUGCUAGGGACCAGAAUUGGAAUAUUCCUGUGAAGAUGAUCUCAUCCUGUCCCAUCUGCAAUAUACAAGUUCUUACAGUUGAGCUGGAACAGCAUGCCAAUAGCCACUUUGAGGAUGAUGAUGAACUUCAAAGGGACAUGGAAUUGGCACAUCAGAUGGCACUUGCUGAAUCAAAUACAGAUAUCAUGAAUGGUCCUGAGCAUUGCAUGGGAUCAUUCACCAGAGACUCUAAUGCUCAAGGGGCCUCAUCAAGUCAUACUGGAUACUCACCUCAUUAUGGCGAGGUAUUGGAUCAACAGAUUUCUUGCUUGGUCAGAGCACAAAUUCCAAGUAAAGUUCAAGAAGUGGAAGGCGGUAUUAUGAGCUUGUUGAUGAGCUGCUUGGAGUCAGAAGGUGGUUCUUCAACAAGUAUGAUAUCAGGCUAUAUUGACCAUCAUCAGAGUCUUUCAUCAGAAGAUAAGGGAUGGGGUUGUGGAUGGAGAAAUAUUCAGAUGAUGAGCUCUCAUCUGUUGAAGCAAAGACCAGAAGCUAGAGAAGUAUUAUUUGGUGGUUCUGGAUUUGUUCCUGACAUCCCAUCUCUCCAGAGGUGGCUUGAGAUUGCUUGGGACAAAAAUUUUGAUACCAUUGGCUCGAACCACUUUCAUAACAAAGUAUAUGGUGCCAAGAAAUGGAUAGGGACUACAGAAUGUGCUACUCUCUUCCGCUCUUUUGGUCUUCGUUCAAGGAUUGUAGAUUUUGAUAGCACCGAAUCAUCCGGCCUCCAAAAUAAGAAUGGAAAACAUGGAGUAAGUCAAGUACGAGGGCCUAUGGACAAAUUCUUGAUAAAGAAUAAUCCUCCAAAAUCAUCUUCUGAACUUUGUCGAGAGGAUGCUGAAAUUAUGAGAGGCCGGCAGGUCCUUGUUGACUGGGUUUGGAACUACUUUGCAAGCGAGCGCUCUGAUAGAUUUACCACACCUCGUGUCACUGUCAGCAAUAAAACCCCACUGUAUUUCCAACAUCAAGGCCAUUCAAGGACAAUAGUUGGGAUUCAAAAGAAAAAGGGUUAUCGCGGAUCUCAUGACCAGUAUACCCUUUUGAUUUUAGAUCCUGGCCAUAGAACAGCAGAUCUAGAAAGGACUCUCAGAAGCAAAAAAGGAUGGCAGAGCCUGGUGAAAAGAGGUGUCCACACCCUCAGGAAGCCACAGUAUCAGGUGUGUUAUGUGGAUUCUGGAAUUGCUAAUUCAGAAGAAAUGGAGCAACUCGAGACUAUUGACAGUAUACUGGUCAGGUUUUAAAUUCCUGGGCUCUUUUUCCAGUUUGAAGAAACAAGGACAUCUAAUACAUUUUCGAGCUCUCCAAUUGGUUGUGCAAUGUAUGCUGCGGAGAAGUAUGAUAUAUUGAUUCGCUGUGCCCAUAUCUGUUAAAGAAAUACGCUAACAUUGGGCUUUGAUAUUGAUAACCUUCAUUUCUGAAGUCUUAAAUGAUAUCUGUUCGACUUCUUCAUUGAAUAUUUGACACUAUGCCCUCUCCUUAAAAAAAAUCAAAAAUCAGAAAAUCAGUGCAAUUUAGGGAUAGCAAUAUAUCUCAGAGUGUAGUCCUUGACAGACCAUGCUUGGUUCACGUGAAACUCUAAGGCCUUUGAAGCCCGCUGACUGUUUGCCGACUGCAUCUGCCAGUUGAAGGUGGUCGCAUCUGCAUCUGUGCUGUAGAGUAAAUCAAACGGCACUUGGUGUUGCUAACUUAUGAAGAGACCGUCAGAGUCACUUGUGUAGAAGUGGAGAAUCAAGUCUCUGAUAUCCCAAGUGGCUAGCGUUUUAUGCUGCGCACUGAGCUCAGCUGACUGGAACCAUCUUGAGGACUGUAUUGUGCAUGAGUUGGAAUCUGGACAUGGUUGAAGCUGCUUUCAGUGGCAGGACCAGGUUCCUGAAGCAAGCACAUCCAAGUGGAUUUGUCUGAAACUUGUCGGUUCGUGGGACCUGAUAGUUUUUUGAACCGGUAGGUUGGUUCUUCA